GGAGGAAUGAGUGUGCAUGACAGUACGCCGCCUGCGGGUAUGAAGUACGGCAGUCACGGCAACCUGCGCUGGGUUUUCCAGCUGUGGUCUCCUGAAUCCCACCUUGAACUUACUGCCAGAAGAUGAAAACUGCCCCAAGUCAUAUCGAGGAGGGCAACAAGGACUGCGCAGGGACCGUCUGAGGGAAAGGCCCUGAGCGCUUGGACCUGCCCCCACCCCCACCCCGCCCCGCCCCGCUGUCCCACUGUCAUCGCGGGGCCCUAGGAAGCCUGAACAGGAAUGGAAAAUAGCCAAAGCUGGGGGACCUUCCCUGAAAGGUGGUGACAGCUCAUGGAAGUGAGUACGGAUGGAAGUGGAGAGGCAUCUCGGAUUCUCUGGCCCUGCCUCACCCCAAUCCCAGUGAUGUUUGUGGAAGCUCCGCGCAUACUCCUGAAUCCAAACGUGCCAGAGCAGAUGAAACACCAAAAGCUCCCUCUUUAGUUCCCCAGGCUGU